AGAUUGAACGCUGGCGGCAGGCCUAACACAUGCAAGUCGAGCGGUAGAGAGGUGCUUGCAUCUCUUGAGAGCGGCGGACGGGUGAGUAAUGCCUAGGAAUCUGCCUAGUGGUGGGGGAUAACGUUCGGAAACGGACGCUAAUACCGCAUACGUCCUACGGGAGAAAGCGGGGGACCUUCGGGCCUCGCGCCAUUAGAUGAGCCUAGGUCGGAUUAGCUAGUUGGUGAGGUAAUGGCUCACCAAGGCGACGAUCCGUAACUGGUCUGAGAGGAUGAUCAGUCACACUGGAACUGAGACACGGUCCAGACUCCGUACGGGAGCAGCAGGUGGGAAUAGUUGACAAGUGGGACGAAAGCCUGAUCCAGCCAUGCCGCGUGUGUAGAAGUAGUCGUUCGGAUUGAAAGUCUAAGUUUAAGUGGG
rnacentral:rRNA from 1 species